AACUUUCGGCAACGGAUCACUUGGUUCUCGCAUCGAUGAAGAACGCAGCGAAAUGCGAUACGUAAUGUGAAUUGCAGAUUCAGUGAAUCAUCGAAUCUUUGAACGCAUAUUGCACUCUUUGGUAUUCCGAAGAGUAUGCCUGUUUCAGUAUCAUAAAACUCUCACAAAGCCAAGCUUUUGUGGACCUGGGCUUGCAAGAUCUGUUGAUUUUGCUCGUCUAAAAUGCAUUUCUUGAUCUCCAAACGCUGAUUUUGCUUAAUAGUUUUGGCCUUUGUGCUGAAUCUUUGGCUUUAUCAAUGAAUAAACGGCUUCAAGAUUUACGAUUUAAUUGGCCUUUGAGCCUCUCAAAAUUUGAUCUGAAAUCAGGUAGGACUACCCGCUGAACUUAAGCAUAUCAAUAAGCGGAGGCU
rnacentral:misc_RNA from 1 species